UGGGUGGAUGAGUUGAAUGUGUGGUCCUCCCAGACAGAGACCAGAGGCAGUCAGAGAAACUGUUAUCUUGAAGGGGGAGAUCUACCUUGGCAUCUGGCAAGCCUGGAACAGGCCAUUUACCUAGCCCUGCCCACCUGGAUAAACACAGCGUUGCUAUGCAACAUCAUGGAGUUGCUGUGGACUCAUCCCCUACUCCGUGUGAUGUCAUACCUGCUCCUCCCCUUCACCGCGCUACUCAGCUUCCUGAUUGAAAAUACACACAGGAUGGGAGUUUUAGGGUUCUGGCUGUGGCAGGAUCUACGCCAGAUCAGCUUCUAUUUCAUGGACAUCCUGGUCUCCAGCCUCCGCAGAAACCUACAGAUCAGACUCCAUCACAAUCUUACUCCGCUUGGAUCUGGAGCGAGAGAAGGAGGCGGAGACGGCCCCCACCAUACCUCUCUAUCCUGGGCUGAAAGAGGGGAGGAUGAAGAAAGAGAGACCUUGCUUGACCCCCCCCGGCACCCCAUCCUAAUAAAACAGACCUUGGUUGACCCCCCCGGGACCCCAAUCUAAUAAAACAGACCUUGGUUGACCCCUCCGGCACCCCAUCCUAAUAAGACAGACCUUGGUUGACCCCCCUAGCUCCCCAUCCUAAUAAAACAGACCUUGGUUGACCCCCUAGCCUCCCAUCUUAAUAAAACAGACCUUGGUUGACCCCACUAGCACCCCAUCCUAAUAAAACAGACCUUGGUUGACCCCCCUAGCACCCCAUCCUAAUAAAA